AUAAUACGUUAUAACAAGGUACAUUACCAAUCAGAUUUUCUGGCACAUGCACACCAAGGAAUAUUUUCAGCAAGCUUCUGAUGGAUGAAGAGAGUGACUCUUUUUUUAGGCUCAAUCACUACCCUCCAUGACCUGAACUUAAAGCAUUGAGUUGCAACUUAACUGGUUUUGGAGAACACACUGACCCUCAGAUAAUAUCAGUUCUGAGAUCAAACAAUACAUCAGGCCUUCAAAUCUCUCUCAGUGAUGGGAGCUGGGUUUCAGUCCCACCUGACCACAACUCCUUUGUCAUUGUUGGUUAUUCCUCGCAGGUAUGGGCAAACAAAGCCAGUUUAUGCAUAUCGUUUGAUGGCACAUGGAACUAUGGAAGAAAAAAUAUAUAAACGGCAGUUGGAAUGCUGAAGUUUAAAGAAUUAGUAGAGGCUUCUAUUGUGGUUCUCAGAUGUCGAAGGGCAUCAAAGCAUGCCUGCCCACUUUCAGUCCCAACUGAUGUACGGUUUUGCCUGUUUGGCUAUAUCAGGCUAUGUGGCUGCAUGGAAAGUUGUAUUGCUAUAAACAUUUGUAGCAUGGAAAAUGGACAUUCAUGUGCAUUUGUAGUCUGAAAACAUUAAAUAGACCGUUAACUGUUUUAUUGGUAUUGUGCA